rnacentral:rRNA from 1 species
GAUCGGCUCAGGAUGAACGCUAGCUACAGGCUUAACACAUGCAAGUCGAGGGGCAGCAUGGUCUUAGCUUGCUAAGGCCGAUGGCGACCGGCGCACGGGUGAGUAACGCGUAUCCAACCUGCCUUACACUCUUGGACAGCCUUCUGAAAGGGAGAUUAAUACAAGAUGUUAUCAUGAGUAAGCAUUUUCGCAUGAUUAAAGGUUUACCGGUGUAAGAUGGGGAUGCGUUCCAUUAG